UAUAUUUGUUAUAAUUAUUAAUUUUUUGAUUUUAUUUUUAAUAGUUUUUAUAAGAGUUGCUUUUUUUACUUUAUUAGAGCGUAAAGUUUUAGGUUAUAUUCAAUUACGUAAAGGUCCGAAUAAGUUUUUGAUUAAAGGUAUUUUUCAACCUAUAGGUGAUGGGUUAAAAUUAUUUUUUAAAGAAGUUAAUUAUCCGAGUAAUAUAAAUUUUUUUAUUUUUAUAAUUUCUCCUUUAUUGGGUUUAUUAAUUUCAAUUUUUUUUUGAUUUAUUUAUCCUUAUAUUGGUAUGAACUAUAUUAUAGGAUUUGGUUUAAUUUAUAUAUUUUGUUGUUCAAGUUUAAUAGUUUAUAUUUUUUUAAUAAUUAGAUGAUCUUCGAAUUCUAAUUAUUCAGUUUUAGGUAUAAUUCGGUUUAUUUCUCAAAUGAUUUCAUAUGAAGUUAGAAUAAUAAUUAUUAUUAUAAAUUUAAUAUUUUUAAUUAAUAGUUUUAAUUUAAAUGAUUUUUAUAUCUAUCAAAUUAAUUUAAAAUUUUUUUUUUUUCUUUUUUUUUUGUUUAUUUUAUUAUUAAUUAGAUUUUUAGCUGAAAUAAAUCGUUCUCCUUUUGAUUUUUCUGAGGGUGAAUCAGAAUUAGUUUCUGGAUUUAAUAUUGAAUUUAGAAGUUUAUCUUUUAUUUUUAUUUUUAUAUCUGAAUAUAUAAGAAUUAUAUUUAUAGGGAUACUAUUAUGUGAAAUGUUUUUUGGUUUGAUAAUAAAUAAAUUUUAUUUAAAUAUUUUUAUUUUGAUUUUUAUAUUUAUAGUUAUUUGAUUACGUGGGUUUUUACCACGAUUUCGUUAUGAUAAAUUAAUAUAUUUAGUUUGGAAAUUAAUUUUACCUUUGUCUUUAUUUUUAUUUGUCUUUAAUUUUUCUAUUAAAUUAUUUAACUUAUAUCAUUAAUUUAAGUAUUAAGUUAAUAGAAUUAAAUUCUAUUUUUUAUUUUCAAAAUAAAUAUUUUAAAUAAAUUAAUUAACUAAAUUAAUAAUUUAUCUCAUAACUUUAUGAUAUAAAAGUUAAUGAAAAAGUAAGAAAAAUAAAUUGUUGUAAAAAUUUGCCCUGUUGUAAUAAAUGGGUAUUCAACUGGUUGUAUCCCAAUUCAGGUUAAAAUAAAAAAUGUUAUAAUAAAUAUUCAGAAUAAAAAUUUAUUUAAUGGGUAAAAUUUAUUUCUUAAAAAAUUUUUAUUGUUUAAUAUAGGUAAGAUUAAUAAAAUUAAAAUUGAAAGUAUUAAAGCAAUAACCCCUCCUAAUUUAUUAGGGAUUGCUCGUAAAAUUGAAUAAGAAAAUAAAAAAUAUCAUUCUGGUUGAAUGUGAUUUGGUGUAAUUAUUGAAUUUGCUAUAAUAAAAUUAUUGUGAUCAUUUAGUAGGUAUGGAAAAAUUAAAGCUAAAAUAAAAAAUAUUCAUAUAAAUAUGAUUAAUCCAAUUAAAUCUUUAAUUAGAAAAUAUGGAGAAAAAGUAAUUUUAUCAAAAUUUCUAUUAAUUCCUAGUGGAUUAUUAGAACCUGUUAAAUGAAGAAAGAAUAAGUGAAUAAAAGUAAAUAAAAUAAUAAUAAAUGGUAAAAUAAAAUGGAUUGAGAAAAAUCGUGUUAAUGUAGCAUUAUUAAUUGAGAAUCCCCCUCAAAUUCAAAUAACAAUUGAAUUUCCUAAAUAAGGAAUUGCUGAUAAUAAAUUUGUGAUUACUGUUGCCCCCCAAAAUGAUAUUUGUCCUCAUGGUAAUACAUAACCUACAAAUGCUGUUAUUAUUGUUAAUAAUAAUAAAAUUACUCCAAUAAUUCAUGUUAUUUUAAAGUUGAAAGAAUUUAUAUAGAUACCUCGUCUAAUAUGAAUAUAAAUUAUAAUAAAAAAUAUAGAAGCCCCAUUUGCAUGGAAAGAUCGGAUUAAUCAUCCAAAGUUAAUAUUUCGAUUUAUAUUAAUAAUUCUUUGAAAAGCUAAAUUAAUAUCUGUUUUAUAAUGGAAGGCUAAAAAUAAUCCUGUUAAAAUUUGAUUAAUUAAACAAAUUAUUAAUAAAGAUCCAAAAUUUCAUAUAAAACUAAUUCUAGCUGGUGUAGGUAAAUUUAAUAUUGGGGAUAAAGUUUUUAGUAUAUUUUUUUUCAUUAAUUAUUUUUUUGUCGAAUUGGUCCUUUAUUAAUUUUUAGUAUUCAAAUAAUUAAAAUUAAUAUAAAAAAAAGGAUUAAGAUAAUUAAAUAAAUUAUUAAAUUAUUUGGUAUUAUGAAUAUAUUUAAUAAAUUAAAAUUAUCUUCAAAUAUAAAUUUAUUUUCAUAAUUGAAAUUUUCAAGAUUGAGAUUUAAUUUUAAAUAAAAGAUUAACAUUAAAAUUAAUGUUAAUUUAUAAAUUAUAAUUUUAUAAUUUUUAUUAAUAUUUAAUUCAUUAAAAGCAAUUCUUGAAAUAUAUAAAAAAAUAAUUAUUAAUCCUCCAAUGUAUAAGAUAAAUACUAUAAAUGAAAUUCAUGCUGUUUUAGUAAUUAUAUUAAUUAUUAAUGUUAAAGUUAUAGUUUGAAUUAAAAUGAUUAAGUUUGAUCUAAUUGGUGAUUUUAUUAUAGUUAAUAAAAUUGCUAUGGUUAAAUUAGUUAAUAAAAUAAAUUUUAAAAUUCAGUAUAUAUUUUAAUUAAAAUAUUAAUUUUGGAGAUUAAUGAUAAUAUGUAUAUAUUUAUACUGAUUUAUUUUAAAUAAUUUUAUAAUUUUGAUUUACAAUAUCAAUGUUUUUUUUAAACUAUUAAAAUGAUAAAUUUAUUUAUUUUAGUAUUAAUAUUUAUAUUAUUUUCUGGAGUUUUAUUUUAUAUUUUUAAUUUUAAUCAUUUAUUAAUAAUACUUUUAGGAUUAGAAUAUUUAUUAUUAAUUUUAUCUUUAUUAUUUUUAUUAAAUUUAAUAAUAUUUAUUAAACAAUAUGUUUUAUUAUUAAUUUUUUUUAUUUUUUGUAUUAGUGAAAGAGUUUUAGGUUUAACAAUUUUGAUUUUAAUAGUUCGUAUAUAUGGUAAUGAUUACUUAAAGUCAUUAAUAAUUUUACAAUGUUAAUAAUUUUAAUAUUAAUUUUAUUUAGUAUGAUUUUUUUUAGUCUUAAUUUUAAAAGAUGAUGAUUAGCCCAGAAUUUUUUUUUUUUUUUUUUUUUUUUUAUAUAUUUCAAGAUACCUAUGUUUAAUUAUUUUUUAAAUGUUAGUUAUUUAUUUGGUAUAGAUAUAUUUUCUUAUUUGAUAUUUAUAUUAGGUGUUUGAAUUAUUAGAUUAGUUUAUAUUUCUAGAUUUAGUCUUAAGAAUAAUUAUUUAAAGUAUUUUAAUUUUUUAAUAUUUAUUUUUAUUAUUAUUUUUUAUUUUUGUUUUUUUAGAAAUAAUUUUAUUUUAUUUUAUAUUUUUUAUGAAAUUAAUUUAAUUCCUGUUAUUAUUUUAAUUUAUGGUUGAGGUUAUCAAUAUGAGCGUUUUAAGGCUGGUUUUUAUUUAUUUAUUUAUAUAAUUUUUUUUUCUUUACCUUUUUUUUCUUGUUUAUUGAGUUUAAAUAAUUUUAAUUUUAUAUUUAUAUAUUAUUAUGAUUACUUAUAUAAUUUAAAUUUUUAUUAUUAUUUAUUUUUAAUAAUAAUUUUUUUAGUUAAGAUACCUUUAUUUAUAUUUCAUAUUUGACUUCCAAAGGCUCAUGUUGAGGCUCCUAUUAGUGGUUCAAUAAUUUUAGCUGGGAUUAUAUUAAAAUUAGGUGGUUUUGGUAUUUAUCAUGUUUUAAUAUUAGUUUUUAAAGUUAACUUAAAAUUUAAUUAUUUAUUUAUUUCUUUAUGUUUAUUAGGUAUAUUGGUUUUAAGAUUAGUUUGUUUUUUUCAGAGAGACUUAAAAAUUUUGAUUGCUUAUUCUUCUGUUGUUCAUAUAGCUUUAGUAAUUAUUGGGUUUUUAACUUUAAAUAAUUGUGGUUAUUUUGGUUCAUUAAUUUUAAUAUUUGGCCAUGGUUUAUGUUCUUCUGGUUUAUUUUGUUUAAGAAAUAUUUGUUAUUUACGUUUUAAAAGUCGAAGUUUAUUUUUAAAUAAGGGUUUAAUUAAUAUUUAUCCUGUUUUAUCAUUUUGGUGAUUUUUAUUAUGUUCUUCAAAUAUAUCUUUUCCCCCAUCUUUAAAUUUAUUUGGUGAAUUAUUUUUAUUAAUUAGUUUAAUAAUUUGAUUAGAUUAUUUUUAUAUAUUAUAUUUUUUAAUUAUAAUUUUAAUAUUUUUAUAUAGUUUAUAUUUAUAUUUAUAUACUCAAUAUGGUAAAUUAUUUUUUAAUAUAAAUUAUUUAGUUUAUAUUAAUUUAAGAGAAUAUAUAUUAUUAUUUAUGCAUUGAGUUCCAUUAAAUUUAAUUUUUUUAAUUAUAGAAUUAUUUUGUUA